AACGCUGGCGGUAUGCCUAAUACAUGCAAGUCGAACGCUGAAGCACUCUGCUUGCAGAGUGUGGAUGAGUGGCGAACGGGUGAGUAACACGUGGGGAACCUGCCCAUAAGAGGGGGAUAACAUCCGGAAACGGGUGCUAAUACCGCAUAGGUGAACAUAGUGCAUGCUUAGAUCAUUAAAGAUGGCUUCGGCUAUCGCUUAUGGAUGGCCCCGCGGCGUAUUAGCUAGUUGGUGAGGUAAUGGCUCACCAAGGCUGUGAUACGUAGCCGACCUGAGAGGGUGAUCGGCCACACUGGAACUGAGACACGGUCCAGACUCCUACGGGAGGCAGCAGUAGGGAAUCUUCCACAAUGGGCGAAAGCCUGAUGGAGCAAUACCGCGUGAGUGAAGAAGGUCUUCGGAUCGUAAAGCUCUGUUGUUAGAGAAGAACAAGAGGUGUAGUAACUGGCACCUCCUUGACGGUAUCUAACCAGAAAGUCACGGCUAACUACGUGCCAGCAGCCGCGGUAAUACGUAGGUGACAAGCGUUGUCCGGAUUUAUUGGGCGUAAAGCGAG
rnacentral:rRNA from 1 species